GGAAAUUGAUCAUCGAGUUCUUGAUGGGAGAAAUGUGGACAACAUUCUCAUUGCAUUCAGUACUGAUCUUCCUACCAUGUUUUUGUCUUGGGGUGAAGGUUGAACAGGGUUCUAAACUUAUCAUUGUUGAGGCUGGGAAGCCGGUGGAGCUUCAAUGUAAACACGAUGACACCAACAUGUUUGCUAUGUAUUGGUACCAACAGCGACCUGGAGAAGCACUGAAGCUUAUGAUAUAUUCAACAGGGGAAAACGCUAAAACUGAUGCAAUGGAAGAUGGAUUCAAGUUGUGGGCUUGGAACAGGCCUUCUCGUCUGAAUUCCACCCUGACAUUGUCUAGUUCUCAGACGGCAGAUUCGGCUGUGUAUUUCUGUGCAGUCAGCCAACACAGUCACAAAUUUCUGAGCAACACUGAGCAUAAAACCUGCAAUUUCAUUCAGCACCACUAA